AUUGUGGGAGAGCUCUCACAGUCAACUACAUAAAUUUAAACGAAAUUAAUACGUAAAAUAAAUUUCUGAGAUAAAUAAUAUAAAAAAAUGGCUCACGAAGGCGAAAAAUUUACUGGUAUUUAUAAAUACUUCAACAGUACUACGGAUUUUGGCAGAGCAAACACCUCCAAAUUGACGCUCAGUGUUCUGGGAUUGAUAAUUGCUUACAAUCUCCUUAAACCAAAGAAACAAAAAACUCAACCAAGUGCUUAGAUGGAGAUCUGUCAUGCAAAAUGUAGCACGCAAGAAUAUAACUUAUGUAACAACAGUUUAUUCUUUUCUGGUCUACUAUAAUUUUUUUGUUAAAAAAAAAAUUGCGCCUCUAAAAAUGUUAAAUAAAAAAAAUAGAUAAGAUAAAUUACUUAUCUACAAUUAUAAUUACCUGGCUCCUUGAUAAUCCUGCACACAAAUCCUAUUUAUUUGAAAUUAUCAGCAUCGACUGAAAAAUUCACAGACACGUUUGUAUAAAAGACUUUAAAUUGAUGUCACUGUUUCAAAGUGCUGAGACAUAUACUGAAGACGCGUGAUAUAUAAAUAACACCGCGGGUUACCGUUAAAUUAGACGUCGUAGCUUGCAUUAAACGAGGGUAGUAUUAGAGGAUACUCAAAGUGAAGGAAGGACUAUAGGAAGCUUAAACGGAGCUUUUGAUAUCUAACACACACUCAGUGAUAUAUAAAUCGCUUCGUAAGAGCCUGGAGGAAUAAUUUAUAGCGUAUGUCAGACCAGUGAAUGGUCUCUAUUAUACGCGACACUGAGCAAGGACAGCAAUCAAAGACGAUUACUUUUUAUUUAUCCUUCGACCCUUGAUGAUGAGAAAAUUCAAGUUUAUCGUUUGAGUAAAAUAAAAUUACACAAGAAAAAAAAA